UACGUAGGGUGCAGGCGUUAAUCGGAAUUACUGGGCGUAAAGCGUGCGCAGGCGGUUUGCUAAGAGAGAUGUGAAAUCCCCGGGCUUAACCUGGGAACUGCGUUUCUAACUGGCAGGCUUGAGUGUGGCAGAGGGGGGUGGAAUUCCACGUGUAGCAGUGAAAUGCGUAGAGAUGUGGAGGAACACGGAUGGCGAAGGCAGCCCCCUGGGCUAACACUGACGCUCAUGCACGAAAGCGUGGGGAGCAAACAGG
rnacentral:rRNA from 1 species